rnacentral:rRNA from 1 species
GUGUCAGCCGCCGCGGUAAAACGUAGGACGCGAGCGUUAUCCGGAGUUACUGGGCGUAAAGGGCAGGCAGGCGGACAGACAAGCGUUGUGUGAAAUCUCCCUGGCUUAACCGGGAGGGCGCAUGGCGGACUGUCUGACUAGAGGGCAGCAGAGGAGCGUGGAAUUCCGGGUGGAGUAGUGAAAUGCGUAGAGAUCCGGAGGAACGCCAGAGGCGAAAGCGGGGCUCUGGGCUGCACCUGACGCUGAACUGCGAAAGCCAGGGGAGCGAACGGGAUUAGAAACCCCAGUAGUCC